rnacentral:lncRNA from 1 species
GAAGGAGAAAACACAAGCGUGUCCGUGUGUUAUGUCGAGCUGAGUAUUCCGUAUUCUCUCUCUCUCUAUUUUUUUUUUCUGCUCCGUGCAAUCCUAGGACAGUCAACGCUGUAUCUCUCUGACCCGCUGUGUAUUGUCUGACCUCCUCAUGUGCUGCUGCAACCGAGGCGCGGCGCGGGUCGAUGCUGCAGAAACGGGAAACGGGAAGAAGGCCUCGAGUCGAGUCGGC